GAUGAACGCUGGCGGCGUGCUUAACACAUGCAAGUCGAACGGAAAGGCUCCUGCUUGCAGGGGUACUCGAGUGGCGAACGGGUGAGUAACACGUGGGUGAUCUGCCCUGCACUUCGGGAUAAGCCUGGGAAACUGGGUCUAAUACCGGAUAGGACCACACUUUGGAUGGUGUGGUGGAAAGUUUUUCGGUGUGGGAUGAGCUCGCGGCCUAUCAGCUUGUUGGUGGGGUAAUGGCCUACCAAGGCGUCGACGGGUAGCCGGCCUGAGAGGGUGUACGGCCACAUUGGGACUGAGAUACGGCCCAGACUCCUACGGGAGGCAGCAGUGGGGAAUAUUGCACAAUGGGCGCAAGCCUGAUGCAGCGACGCCGCGUGGGGGAUGACGGCCUUCGGGUUGUAAACUCCUUUCGCUAGGGACGAAGCGCAAGUGACGGUACCUGGAGAAGAAGCACCGGCUAACUACGUG
rnacentral:rRNA from 1 species